GACAGAGGAUGCAAGCGUUAUCAGGAAUGAUUGGGCGUAAAGCGUCUAUAGGUGGCUUUUUAAGUCCGCCGUCAAAUCCCAGGGCUCAACCCUGGACAGGCGGUGGAAACUACCAAGCUGGAGUACGGUAGGGGCAGAGGGAAUUUCCGGUGGAGCGGUGAAAUGCGUAGAGAUCGGAAAGAACACCAACGGCGAAGGCAGGUCUCUGGGCCACUACUGACGCUGAGAAGCGAAAGCAUGGGGAGCGAACAGG
rnacentral:rRNA from 1 species